CAAUAGGUUUUACUGAAAACCAUAACAUUUUCAUUCUUAAUUAAAU
rfam:Neocallimastix californiae strain G1 LY90scaffold_117, whole genome shotgun sequence.